UAUCACAGAGAAUUUACUAAGUCAUCACUCUCAAGUGUAUAAUUAAUAAUAAAACCUGCGGAAAUUCAACUAAAAUACCACACCAUAGCCUAAUAGAAUCCGGUGUCACGAAUAUGAGCCUCUAAUACAGAAUAUCCACAUAUUACAAGUCUGUCUAGGAAAAAUGCAGAAUAAAAGAUAGAGAUCAAGGCUGCGAAUGCCAUGCAGCUACCUCAAUACUCUCGGAUACUGCUGCUCAGCUAAACAAAUCCUCACUCAGCCUAUGGUGUACCUGGAUCUGCACGCAAGGUGCAGAGAGUAAUGUGAGUACUCCGACCCAGUGAGUAAUAAACAUAAAUAAAGGCUGAGAAUAAGAAAUCGUGGAAAAAUACAAAGUAAACUAUAACUGGCAGUUUAGAACAACAAAUAGUGAAGCAACAAGUUAAUUAAAUCAGAGUACCAAAUAUGAGACAGGUAUAACAGAUAAAAACAAAUGCAUGAGUGCAAUGCAAUGCAUAUGAUGGUACACUCUAUGCAUGAGUGCAAUGCAAUGCAUAUGAUGGUACUCUCUAGUACCCACUGCGGCGUGCAGCCCGAGCCAUCCAUUUUAUUUAUCGUUGACGGCGCUCACUGUGGGUGUAUACAGACUCCGGAGGGGCUCCUACAGCCCGAGCGCAAUAACAAGCCAUCUCGUGGCAUCAAUCAAGUCCUGGUCAGUCAUUGUUACCUGACCAAUUUAUAUCACACAGUGCCAUUGUUACCAUUGUUUCAAGUCACAUCAUACAGUGUCAUUGUUACCACUACUUCAAAUCACUGCUACGGCGCAUAACCCGAUCCAUGCUCAGUCCAGAAAUCAUAAUAAGCCCCUUGGGCAUUUGUAAAACAGUAGUUCUCAGCCCGAAAUAUCAUUUAGAAAUAUCAUUUAAGUUUUAAAAUCUUAGAAAGAUGGCUGAGUUUGCAAAAGAGUAUUUAAAACCUUGGACUGAGAUUAAAUGAUAUGCAUGUAUGCGAAAACAGUGAUGUCAAUCCCUAAAGGAUUCAAAUAAUUGGCAAGAAGCCCAAAUGUAAUAAUUAAAUCCAAGUAAGGAUGAUUUUCAAUUUAGUUCAAGUAGAAAACACGGUAAAAACAUCUCUCGGGAUGGACUAAGUCACAAUCCCUAAUGGUGCUCUACCCCACACCCGUUAUCCGGCGUGCAAGUCACCUCACUAUAGCGUUACGAUGUGAAAUUUCGGGGUUUCAAAACCUCAGGACUUCAUUUACUCACCUCAAAUUGGCCAAAGCUCUAGCUCGCUAUACCCUUGCCUCUCAAAUUAGCCUCCUCGUGCGACGAAUCUACUCAAAAUCACAACAAAUAUGUCGCAUUAUACUAAAGGGACAAUACCCCAUCGAAAACACUCAAAAAAUAUCAAAAUUAACGAAUUUGGCGAAACCCGAGCCAUGGGCCCACGUCUCAAAACUCAAAAAUUUUUAUACCAAAAUGUUCUUCGUCCUCUCACGAAUCCGUACAUAUAAAGAACACAAAAAUCGGAGCUCGUUUGACCCUUCAAAUCGACCCCAGAAAAUCUCAAAAGCACAAGCCCUAAAACCCCACUUUUCUACUGAUUUUCAUGUUCUAAUUCACAUAUAAUCUUGUAUUUAACUUGAAAAUAAGUAGAACAACUCACCUUUGAUGCUUGAUAAAAUCCCCCUUGAAAUUCUCUCCAAAAUCA
rnacentral:lncRNA from 1 species